UGAAAUACAGUGAAGAAGGAAAGUAAUAUAAAUUAGAUAUUCAGAGAGGAAGUCAUAUGCUGAAAGAUUUCUAUAUUGAAUUUAUAUGAAGUGCCCUUUGGAGUUUUGCACCGAAAUAAAGUAGGCUGCAACGGUUUUACCCGUUAUAGUAAUAGAGCAUAAAAUUAUAGUAUAAGAUAUAAUAGUGCUUGAAAAGAGGUGGGAUUUUAUUCAAAUAGAGUGGAAACGCAGAGUUUAGCUUUGUCUCUAAU
rnacentral:ncRNA from 1 species